rnacentral:lncRNA from 1 species
AUCACAUCUAGAACAUCCUAUACAAAGAUUAAAGAACUAAGUUAGAAAGUGAACCAAAAUAUGAAUUCACGUACACAAGGUACCAUGUGAAGAGAAGGAAAACUGUUUCUCUUCGGAUGACCCAGGUUGCAUCUAAAAAUUUUUUUAUUAAUCUAUAUGAAUAAGGAUCAAAUUCUUAUCUGAUUAAUAGUAGAACCAAAGAUCACAUUUCAAAUAAUCUGGAUUAAACCUUUGCGGAGGCCUGAAAGUGUAGACUCUCUACUUCGCAUGUAUGCCAAACACCGU